AGAGUUUUAUCCUGGCUCAGAUUGAACGCUGGCGGCAGGCCUAACACAUGCAAGUCGAACGGUAACAGGAAGAAGCUUGCUUCUUUGCUGACGAGUGGCGGACGGGUGAGUAAUGUCUGGGAAACUGCCUGAUGGAGGGGGAUAACUACUGGAAACGGUAGCUAAUACCGCAUAACGUCGCAAGACCAAAGAGGGGGACCUUCGGGCCUCUUGCCAUCGGAUGUGCCCAGAUGGGAUUAGCUAGUAGGUGGGGUAACGGCUCACCUAGGCGACGAUCCCUAGCUGGUCUGAGAGGAUGACCAGCCACACUGGAACUGAGACACGGUCCAGACUCCUACGGGAGGCAGCAGUGGGGAAUAUUGCACAAUGGGCGCAAGCCUGAUGCAGCCAUGCCGCGUGUAUGAAGAAGGCCUUCGGGUUGUAAAGUACUUUCAGCGGGGAGGAAGGGAGUAAAGUUAAUACCUUUGCUCAUUGACGUUACCCGCAGAAGAAGCACCGGCUAACUCCGUGCCAGCAGCCGCGGUAAUACGGAGGGUGCAAGCGUUAAUCGGAAUUACUGGGCGUAAAGCGCACGCAGGCGGUUUGUUAAGUCAGAUGUGAAAUCCCCGGGCUCAACCUGGGAACUGCAUCUGAUACUGGCAAGCUUGAGUCUCGUAGAGGGGGGUAGAAUUCUAGGUGUAGCGGUGAAAUGCGUAGAGAUCUGGAGGAAUACCGGUGGCGAAGGCGGCCCCCUGGACGAAGACUGACGCUCAGGUGCGAAAGCGUGGGGAGCAAACUGGAUUAGAUACCCUGGUAGUCCACGCCGUAAACGAUGUCGACUUGGAGGUUGUGCCCUUGAGGCGUGGCUUCCGGAGCUAACGCGUUAAGUCGACCGCCUGGGGAGUACGGCCGCAAGGUUAAAACUCAAAUUGAAUUGACGGGGGCCCGCACAAGCGGUGGAGCAUGUGGUUUAAUUCGAUGCAACGCGAAGAACCUUACCUGGUCUUGACAUCCACAGAACCCUGUAGAGAUACGGGGGUGCCUUCGGGAACUGUGAGACAGGUGCUGCAUGGCUGUCGUCAGCUCGUGUUGUGAAAUGUUGGGUUAAGUCCCGCAACGAGCGCAACCCUUAUCCUUUGUUGCCAGCGGUCCGGCCGGGAACUCAAAGGAGACUGCCAGUGAUAAACUGGAGGAAGGUGGGGAUGACGUCAAGUCAUCAUGGCCCUUACGACCAGGGCUACACACGUGCUACAAUGGCGCAUACAAAGAGAAGCGACCUCGCGAGAGCAAGCGGACCUCAUAAAGUGCGUCGUAGUCCGGAUUGGAGUCUGCAACUCGACUCCAUGAAGUCGGAAUCGCUAGUAAUCGUGGAUCAGAAUGCCACGGUGAAUACGUACCCGGGCCUUGCACACCCCGCCCGUCA
rnacentral:rRNA from 1 species